AUUAAAAUUUCAUUGACUUGACCAGAUUUGGUUACCAACUCUACCUCUAGUAUGCUAGGAAAGUUCUUUGGCAAAUCAUAAAUACAAGACCAGAAAAUUCAAAGCACUAUGUGGGAAAAGAUGAUGGCUAAUUCCACAGAAACAAGUUAGAGUUUGAGAUUACUAUUAAUGAUGUGAUGAUGACUAAUUCCACAGAAACAAGUGGACGUUGGAGUUUGAGAUUAAUAUUAAUGAUGUUUAAUUAAUUAACCUUAGUAUUCUUGCAAAAGUCGAGGUCAC
rnacentral:misc_RNA from 1 species